rnacentral:rRNA from 1 species
CUUGACCUCAAAUCAGGUAGGACUACCC